rnacentral:tRNA from 1 species
ACGGAAACCGGGCUGGUCACGCUGGCCUCGGCCGCUGGUGUCGGCCAAUUGGUGACCGCCGGUUUCGAAUUCGAUGUUCCUGUGC